rnacentral:rRNA from 1 species
GAUGAACGCUGGCGGCGUGCCUAAUACAUGCAAGUCGAGCGAACAGACGAGGAGCUUGCUCCUCUGACGUUAGCGGCGCACGGGUGAGUAACACGUGGAUAACCUACCUAUAAGACUGGGAUAACUUCGGGAAACCGGCGCUAAUACCGGAGAAUAUAUUGAACCCCUUUGUUCGAUAUUAAAAGACGGUUUUUAUGGCACUUAUAGAUGUAUCAGCGCCGCAUUGGAUAGUUGGCAAGGUACCGGAUCACCAAGGCGACGAUGCGUAGGGGACCGGAGAGGGGAGGCGUCCCCCCCGGACCGGAACCACGGCCCAGACUCCUACGGGAGGCAGCAGUAGGGAAAGUUACACAAUGGGCGAGAGCCUGAGGGGACAAAGCCGCGUGAGGUACGAAGGGCCUGGGAUAGUAGAUCUAUGUUAUUAUGAAAGAACAAAUGUGUAAGUUACUAUGACAGUUUUGAAGGUACCGAAUGAGAAAGCAACGGCUAACUACGUG